rnacentral:rRNA from 1 species
AAGUUUUCGGAUGGAUUUAAAACAGCUUAGUGGCGGACGGGUGAGUAACGCGUGGGUAACCUGCCUCACACUGGGGGAUAACAGUUAGAAAUAGCUGCUAAUACCGCAUAAGCGCACAGCUUCGCAUGAAGCAGUGUGAAAAACUCCGGUGGUACAAGAUGGACCCGCGUCUGAUUAGCUGGUUGGUGAGGUAACGGCCUACCAAGGCGAUGAUCAGUAGCCGGUCUGAGAGGAUGAACGGCCACAUUGGGACUGAGACACGGCCCAAACUCC